rnacentral:rRNA from 1 species
GACGAACGCUGGCGGCGUGCCUAAUACAUGCAAGUAGAACGCUGAAGGAGGAGCUUGCUUCUCUGGAUGAGUUGCGAACGGGUGAGUAACGCGUAGGUAACCUGCCUGGUAGCGGGGGAUAACUAUUGGAAACGAUAGCUAAUACCGCAUAAGAGUAGAUGUUGCAUGACAUUUGCUUAAAAGGUGCAAUUGCAUCACUACCAGAUGGACCUGCGUUGUAUUAGCUAGUUGGUGAGGUAACGGCUCACCAAGGCAACGAUACACAGCCGACCUGAGAGGGUGAUCGGCCACACUGGGACUGAGACACGGCCCAGACUCCUACGGGAGGCAGCAGUAGGGAAUCUUCGGCAAUGGACGGAAGUCUGACCGAGCAACGCCGCGUGAGUGAAGAAGGUUUUCGGAUCGUAAAGCUCUGUUGUAAGAGAAGAACGAGUGUGAGAGUGGAAAGUUCACACUGUGACGGUAUCUUACCAGAAAGGGACGGCUAACUACGU